AUGGCGCUCAACGACGAUGCGAAGCCUCGCACUUCCAAUGCAGGCAACACCAAUGGCUCUGGUGACGAUCAAGAUGCCGUAUACAACAAGGACAAGGCGGCAUUGGCGAUGGAUGCGGUAACGACGGAGGUGGACCCGAACGUCACCUCGUCGACAGUCGUUCGGGAAGGGCAUGACCUGGUAGUGGUGAUGGACGUGAGGGACAGCACGCAGGGCGACAAGAUGCAUAGCAUGAAGAGGGCGAUGCAAUUCGUGAUAGUGAAGUUCACCCCGGUCGACCCUUCUAUGCUGAAGCUCGCCUAG
rnacentral:rRNA from 1 species